UACAGAGGGUGCGAGCGUUGUUCGGAAUUAUUGGGCGUAAAGGGCGCGUAGGCGGUGCGGUAAGUCACCUGUGAAAUCUCCGGGCUUAACUCGGAGCCUGCAGGCGAAACUGCCGUGCUUGAGUGUGGGAGAGGUGCGUGGAAUUCCCGGUGUAGCGGUGAAAUGCGUAGAUAUCGAGAGGAACACCUGCGGCGAAGGCGGGUUGCUGGGCCGACACUGACGCUGAUGCGCGAAAGCCAGGGGAGCGAACGGG
rnacentral:rRNA from 1 species